GUUUGGCUUGUACUUGCGAGUCAUUUUUGUGUUGUCGUUUAUCUCCGUAUGUAAGUGAAGUUCUUACUGGAAAAGAUGGAAACUUUUGAAUUUUAUAAAGUCUUGGAAGAUGUGUCGCCUGAAAAAUUUUACUCUAGUCGAAUGAAGAGGGAGCGAAAUGAAAUAUGACGUGUGUCUGUGAACUUUAUAAUGGACAUGUACAGCUUUUUGAUGCCCAGUGGUAACCAGCCUACCAUGUGGCUCAACAGAUGCCAGUGUACCUGAAUUCUGAGACAUAAUUGGACGUUCUUUUCUUUUAAGAUUCCCAGUUUGGGAUGAUGUGCAGUUCAUGUUAGAUUUGCUCUUUCUACAGUUACAGUGAAGUAGAAGAGUCCAGUCGUGUUAUGGGGCAGCAGCUGAAGAAGAAGGAUGGAGAGACGUGUGCCAUGUUGAAGUAUUGGCUGGUCCUCCUGCCCGCUCUUCUGGAAUCCUCCAUCUAAACCUCUGCUCUGAUCUGCUGUGCCUUUGCCAAGUGAUCACGAGUUUAUUGCAGUGGUGCCCCCCUGCGUCUCCACCGUCUGUUACAUCAACUCCAACUGCCUGCGACAGAAGAAAAGUUCACAAGACGUUCUGAAAUGGAAUUGUGAUUGGAGUAAGACGGCCACAAUUAUGUAUGCUGGGAUGUGCAGAGGGGGCUGUUUGGGCUUUGGCUUGUGACCCCCAGAGGUUUAUUAUCUCCAGUGUCCUUGAAGGCUGCAAGUUUGUCUUUGUCCCCAGCCAUUUGACCAGGCAGUGUAUUUAUUACAAAGGACAAGGACCCCUCCAUUUGCUUCUUAUUUACUUUUAUAAUAUCUUCAGUUUUCUUUGUAACUGUAUAUCUUUGUGGAGCAAAGGUGAUAUAAAAAUAUUAUCAGUGAACAAAUUAGGAAAAAUGUCAGUUUAAAUAGAACACAUUUUUUAUGGAAUAUUGCUGGAUAAUGUAGAAGAAGAAUGUUCUCCUCAGCACCAUGUAUUUUUGUGUGUUUAGUAAAUUAGAAUUUUUAUAAUAACUAUUUUGUAACUUGCCAGUGAGAGACGCUUUGGCUUAUGAACUAACAAAAAUAUGUUAUUCCAGGGUUCAGGAGAAAUAGUGUCCACAUGAAUAAAAUCUAAGCUGUUUCUUGUUUUCCCUUUCUCAGAGUGAAUGUUUCAGGGACAAGGUCACAAGGCUGCAGAAAGUACAUGUAGUUUAUGCAAAGGCGUCUCUCCUGUGCUUAGCUUCCAAAACACAGAUAAUGCUUAGCUCAACAGACAUAUUGUUUAACUUUACUGUUUUGAUAAGGAUGUUCUUUCUGUCUUAUUAAUCAUGAGAUGCUGAAGUAUAAAAAACCCCUCCUGGCUUUUGAUCAGGGUUCAAUUGAGCUUUGCGGCAAUAAGUUAUACUCUUUUGAAUCUCUACUUACUGCGACUCCGAAUGAAUAAAUAAAGAGAAUUGAGAAAAUAUUAUCUGUCUGCUUUUCAGUGUGCCUUUUUCGUCCACAAUAACAAUUCUUUGACUCUGGGUAGCAUCUUGUUCAUAAAACUAAAAUAGCAUUUUUCCUUUUUUGUCAAAUUUAAUGAUUCACUUUUAUUGUGUUCAAAACCUUGACUUAACAUUUUUUUUAAAUACUAAGGUAAAAAUCUGUAAAUAUAUUUGUGUUCUCCUUCCCUAAUAGUUUUUAACAC